GCAUGUGUUUGGAUUUAAGGCAGGCCCACCACCCUGUGUCUUUCAUGAGGCAUAGUUUCCAAAGCCAGAGCAAACUGUGGCCUUGAACCAUUGCUUGGCCUCUAUCUGUGGGUUGCAGGCACUGAAACAGGUUGCACAGUG